UACGUAGGGUGCGAGUGUUAAUCGGAAUUACUGGGCGUAAAGCGUGCGCAGGCGGUUUUGUAAGCCAGAUGUGAAAGCCCCGGGCUUAACCUGGGAAUGGCAUUUGGGACUGCAAGGCUUGAGUGUGGCGGAGGAGACUGGAAUUCCUGGUGUAGCAGUGAAAUGCGUAGAUAUCAGGAGGAAUACCGAUGGCGAAGGCAGGUCUCUGGGCUAACACUGACGCUCAUGCACGAAAGCGUGGGGAGCAAACAGG
rnacentral:rRNA from 1 species